rnacentral:rRNA from 1 species
GCAGCGCAGAGCAAGAGAUGUUGUCAUCUUGGCAACACACUGUGAUCAACAUGUGCAAGCAUCCUUGUGCAAGUCUGUAUCAUCGCUUCCAGAGGCAAAUGAUCAAUCAACGCGCACGCAUGGAAACGGAGACGGGCAUCUGCGACCUUCCAGCGGACUGCCUGGCUCUCGUCGCCUCCCUGACCUCCCCCGGCGACGUGUGCAGGCUGGCCGCCACCGCCCCAGCUCUCCGGGCGGCUGCCAACUUCGACGAGGUCUGGGGGAGCUUCCUGCCGGCGGACUGCGUCAACAUCCUCGCGCGGUCUAGUACUGCCAGUGAGGAGCACCGCCGGGAAGGUGAAACGAAGAAGGAGCUCUUCUGCCGACUAUGCGACUGCCCUGUCCUCCUCGACGGCGGCAAGCUGGUAAAUCUGUUGAUAACUUGUUAUGAUUCGAAAAUGCAUGUGCGUAUCAAGAGAUCUCGUCUGACAGUGGCAUCAUCCGGCCGGGCAAGAAGAGCUUCUCUUUGGACAAGCGUAGCGGGGCCAGGAAGUACAUGAUACCAGCGAAAGCUCUGUGGUACGGGUGGAGUGGCUACCACUACGGAGGACUCGUGUGGUCACGCUGCCACCCUCACUCCAGAUUCCGCGAGGUGGCGGUUCUCUCGUACCUGUGCUGGGUGGACGUGGACGUGACCUUGAACACCAAGAACCUCUCCGGCAUCGAUAGAGGCUAUGCGGCCUAUCUUGUAUACAGGGUGCAUUGGUUGCACGCAGACACGGCUCAGAACCAGAACCAAGAAAAUGCAGGGUCAUCGUCCGCGGCCAUUUGCUAUCAUGAGUGCAACCAUCUCGUGCCGCAGAAGCACUCGCGAUCUCUGUUAUGGGACAGGGGCUGGGAACUCGAUGGAUCACCAUCGCCGUCGAUGUCAGCAGACACAACGGAGAAAAUCCGAAGUCAGAAGCAGCGGCUCAUACCUGAUGGCGUGGGCAUGAGGAGAGAUGGACAAUGGAUAGAGCAAGAGAUUAACAUAGAGUUGGACGAGCAGUGUCUGGAGGGGAAGGAGAGCAAUGUUUCCAUUGAGUUUAGAGGGUUCACUAGGUCACAUAGGUGCCAGAUUAUCAUAGAAGGGAUCGAGAUAAGGCCGAGAGGAAUGGAAAAGUUCAAAUCACGACUAAAUUCAUUAGAUAGAUAAAUUCACCGCAUGGUUAAGCCUGUUUUUGGCAAUAUUGCAAUUUGCAACUAUGAUGUUGUGUUAAUUUUUUGCCUUGUAGUUAUUUAUUGUUUUAACAAAAAAGAAUCGAGAACAGAGCUCUCAUUGCAUCUUCCACACAGAAUUAUCGAAGAGCAUAAUUCUUAAUUUGUUUUCCUAAGGUUUG